UACGUAGGUGGCAAGCGUUGUCCGGAUUUACUGGGCGUAAAGGAUGCGUAGGCGGACAUUUAAGUCAGAUGUGAAAUACCCGAGCUUAACUUGGGUGCUGCAUUUGAAACUGGGUGUCUAGAGUGCAGGAGAGGUAAGUGGAAUUCCUAGUGUAGCGGUGAAAUGCGUAGAGAUUAGGAAGAACACCUGUGGUGUAGACGGCUCUCUGGACCGCAACUGACGCUGAGACACGAAAGCGUGGGUAGCAAACAGG
rnacentral:rRNA from 1 species